rnacentral:rRNA from 1 species
GACGAACGCUGGCGGCGUGCUUAACACAUGCAAGUCGAGCGGUAAGGCCCUUUUGGGGGGUACACGAGCGGCGAACGGGUGAGUAACACGUGGGUGACCUGCCCUCAGCUCUGGGAUAAGCCUGGGAAACUGGGUCUAAUACUGGAUAUGACCUUUCCUCGCAUGGGGUUGGGUGGAAAGUUUUUCGGCUGGGGAUGGGCCCGCGGCCUAUCAGCUUGUUGGUGGGGUGAUGGCCUACCAAGGCGACGACGGGUAGCCGGCCUGAGAGGGCGACCGGCCACACUGGGACUGAGACACGGCCCAGACUCCUACGGGAGGCAGCAGUGGGGAAUAUUGCGCAAU